rnacentral:rRNA from 1 species
UACGUAGGGUGCAAGCGUUAAUCGGAAUUACUGGGCGUAAAGCGUACGUAGGCGGCUUUGUAAGUUAGAGGUGAAAGCCCGGGGCUCAACUCCGGAACUGCCUUUAAGACUGCAUCGCUAGAAUCCGGGAGAGGUGAGUGGAAUUCCGAGUGUAGAGGUGAAAUUCGUAGAUAUUCGGAAGAACACCAGUGGCGAAGGCGGCUCACUGGACCGGCAUUGACGCUGAGGUACGAAAGCGUGGGGAGCAAACAGG